rnacentral:rRNA from 1 species
CAAUAGCGUAUAUUUAAGUUGUUGCAGUUAAAAAGCUCGUAGUUGGAUUUCUGCUGAGAACGACCGGUCCGCCCUUUGGGUGUGUAUCUGGCUCUUUCUUGGCAUCUUCUUGGUGAACGUUGCUGCACUUGACUGUGUGGAGCGCUACCCAGGACUUUUACUUUGAGGAAAUUAGAGUGUUUCAAGCAGGCAUACGCCUUGAAUACAUUAGCAUGGAAUAAUAAGAUAGGACCUCGGUUCUAUUUUGUUGGUUUCUAGAGCUGAGGUAAUGAUUAAUAGGGAUAGUUGGGGGCAUUCGUAUUUAACUGUCAGAGGUGAAAUUCUUGGAUUUGUUAAAGACGGACUACUGCGAANGNAUUUGCNAAGGAUGUUUNCAUUG